GUUGUUUGUCAGUACUUCUAUCAUGCAGAUCCGUUCUUCUUACAUAUGCACAUGACGAUGUGAGCGGUUGGGUUCUGGUUUAUCGGGCUUAAUGUUGUGCAUAUUGAUGAAGCAAAGUUUUGCUGCUCAUCUUGGUCAACAGGAGCAAUCAGUGCAGGUGCUUGAUGCGUCAUUGCUUAUGAUACCGGGGUUAUACUUCGCACGAGGCCCAUUGAUUCUUUCAAGAGUUCUUUGAAUAUAGAAAUCUGCGACCCUUUUAGGUUGAUUGGUGGAGAGGUGAUGUAUGGAACUGGAGAUUUGGCAGCCCUUCUUUUGGACUUCGGCAUGUUAGCUCGUAGCUGAAGAAGGCUUCAAAGAUGAAUACUUUUAAGUUUUAAGGGCUAAAUAGGUCCCAUGCUGGAUGCAGAACAACUUUCUUUGAGUUGAGCGUCUAACAAAUGGGUCAUUAUUCUUUCAUUUAUAGUGGGGGAGGAGAUUCAGCCCCAUUUGAUAGUGUCGACUUGCUACCGAGAGAUUGUACUAUGAUUGGCGGCUUAUUCUCUUGAUUAAAG